CUGGGAAAGACCUGACGUGUACUGCAGCCUCGUCUCCGUGCAUUUGUAUCGAUUUAGAUAACCCGCUUACAGGAUACGACUAUAACAGUGAUUGUACAUGUCGCAUAAAGUCACAACAUGCAGCAUCCUGCGCUCUUUCGUCAUGAGCGACGCGAUGCGGUUUACGUGCACGUACGCGACUUUUCUGUGACACACAACGUUUGGUGGCCACAACUUUUUGCAGGAAGUGAAGCGGCUCGGGGACUUUCCUCACUGCAGAAACAGCAGAUUAAAUCCAUAAUUCCCGUGAGAAGCGGCAGAGGUAAGACGUGUGUGUGUGUGUGUGUGUGUGUGUGUGUGUGUGUGUGUGUGUGUGUGUGUGUGUGUCUUUGCUGGCUCGCUGUGUGUUUCACAGUAACUCUGCAGGCUUUGUCUCACUCAAUGAUUCAUAAUCCACCGAUUCGCUGCUGUUCUUUGGCUCCAACGUCCGCGAGCUUCAAGCACCGACAAAAUGUCCCACUCGGUCCAAAGGUUGUGGACAAACCUGCACGUCAUAUGUGACUCUUCCCCACCAGCUAAAGCAGGUUGGUGUGAAGGUGUGAAGGUGUGGACUCUGCUAUGAAUCAGGCUGAGGACCCAGAGGACGGAGUCCCUCCCUCUGAAGCCCCUCUGUGUGGGGAACAUGACAGCCAGACCAAAGCUCAGAGGAUCCAUCAGAGACCAGGACCUGGACCUGGACCCAGCUGUGUGUCCAUGAAGAGUAACCAGUCUAUGAGUCAUCCUCUAAAAUUCAAAAUUCAAGAUGUUGGUCCCUCUGUUGAUGCAAGGUGAGGGUCUCAGGCUGAUGAUGAGGUGUUUCUACCAGACUCUCUGGUGGAGGUUCUGGGUUUCUUGCUCCAGGGCCCUUCAGCAGUGUCCAGUGAGGGAGGGAGAGCUCCAUGGAGGACUUGGUGAGACCUGUUGGGACUAAACCAAACUGACUGGUGAAGAAAACAGUGAGCUGAAAGACUGAGCUGUUGAUUCUCAGUGGGACCAGCAGGACCAGUAGACCUAAACCACUACAAGGAGUCAUGUGGUCCACAUCCAGACCUCACGUCAUGGACCUUUGCCUUGUUUUGGUCUCUGUGAGGACGGACACCAUGUGAGCUGAUGCUUCAUGAUUAGAUGAUGAUGUGAUGAUGUAAUCUCAGUGUUUCUUUCAGGUCACAUCAGCAGAGAGGAAAGUCUCCUGAACCCAGAUGUUUGUCUAUGAAGAGUGAUCAGUCUAUUGGUCGAUAUAUUGACUUCAAAGAUGGACGCCGUUCUUAUGACCCAGACAGGCAGAUCUCAUCCAUGUCACAAUUGAGAAUGAUUUGCAGAGCUGCCAGGAUCCAUCAGAGACCAGGACCUGGAGCUGGACCUGAUCCUGAACCUGGA
ensembl:lncRNA